UGGAAGCAGAGGAGUGCCUGGCUGGGCUUGGUUCUGGCUGGGCUGAGACUGUUUAUGCACAAAGCUUCAGCAUCUGGGUGGUCCUGACUACAUCCAGGUGUCUCCUCAGCCUCCAAACACUGCCACAGAUUGAAGCACUGAACCAGCUUUUCCCAGCUAUGUCCUUGUUAAAAGCAGACGAUGGACAGCAAUCACCUCAACGUGCUAGAGAAAAAAUUUCCCAAAUGGUCCUCCUGUGCCAUUGAAUUUUGCAUUAGGGAGGUUGCCACUGUUAAUCACAAACCUCUCCUUCAGAAGGCUGCAACGUCAUACUUGAGUUGCACAACAUAAAAACAGAUGGAUGUUUUGCAGCCAGCAAGCAAGACUUCCAGAGCUCUAUAUGCUCUUUC
rnacentral:lncRNA from 1 species